GUACUUGCUUUGGCAGCACAUAUACUAAAUUUGGACCGAUACAGAGAAGAUUAGCAUGGUCUCUGCACAGGAUGACAUGCAAAUUCAUGAAGCGUUCCAUAUUUUG
ensembl:snRNA U6 U6 spliceosomal RNA